rnacentral:rRNA from 1 species
AUACGUAGGGGGCGAGCGUUGUCCGGAAUGAUUGGGCGUAAAGGGCGCGUAGGCGGCUUUGCAAGUCAGUAGUGGAAGUCCAUUUUUCAAGGAUGGAAGUGCUACAGAAACUGCGGGGCUUGAGUGCAGGAGAGGUUAUCGGAAUUCCCGGUGUAGCGGUGAAAUGCGUAGAGAUCGGGAGGAACACCAGUGGCGAAGGCGGGUAACUGGACUGCAACUGACGCUGAGGCGCGAAAGUGUGGGGAGCAAACAGGAUUAGAUACCCUGGUAGUCCACACUGUAAACGAUGAAUGCUAGGUGUAGGAGGUAUCGACCCCUUCUGUGCCGCAGUAAACACAGUAAGCAUUCCGCCUGGGGAGUACGGUCGCAAGAUUAAAACUCAAAGGAAUUGACGGGG